GUCGUACACAAAUGUGAAGUUGAGAGGCUGUCUGAAGUCGAUCAGUUUCGGUGCCCAGCCUGCAAACCCUCAAAGUUAGCAGUCUCAGUGGAUGGGAACCGCAAGCUUUAUCGCUUUAAGAGCCAUUCUGGGACCAAAUAGCUUUUUCGAAGGUGUCUUCUUGGCCAACAACACAGAGGUGACCUCCUACGUCAACCACAUCAGGGCAUCAACAGGACAUAAUCCUGGGAAAGGCAGGUGUGGUGGAAGCGAAUGGGUGGCUGCACGAGAGUCCUCCAACAAGUCUGCGACUAAAGUAGAUGAGGAAGGGGUCGAGGUUGUCGUGUGUCGUCAUGGUGUUUUACUGAAGGGACUGAACAUGUUCCGUGGGGAGAUAUUUGCACUUCCUUUAUAUCUCCAGAAACUGCUUGUUUCAAACAAUGUUCAGAUUUUUGCUCUGAUGUGGUAUGCAAAUAUUGACCAUAUUUGCAGAAGGUUGUUGGCCACUGUCCUGAGUUACAGGUCUUGUUGAACAUGCAGCCCUUUCUCUCCAUCAUGCACGCUAAAGCA